rnacentral:rRNA from 1 species
CUACGGGCGGCACCAGUUAGGAAUAAUCUACAAUGCACGAAAGUGUGAUAGUUUGAGCCAGAGUGUUUUUCAAAUGAAAAACUUUUGCCAGGUGUAAAAAGCCUGGCGAAUAAGGACUGGGUAAGACGAGUGCCAGCCGCCGCGGUAAUACUCGCGGUCCAAGUCGCAGCCAUUUUUAUUGGGUCUAAAACAUCCGUAGCUUGCUUGAUAAGUUUCUUGUGAAAUCCUAUAUCUCAAAUAUGGGGCGCGCAAGAAGUACUGUCUCGCUAGAGACUGGAAGACGUAAGAAGUACGUUCGGAGUAGCGGUAAAAUGUGUUAAUCCUGGACGGACUCACGAGAGCGAAGGCAUCUUACGAGGACAGUUCUGACAGUAAGGGAUGAAAGCUAGGGGCGCAAAACGGAUUAGAUACCCUGGUAGUC